GUGUGUGCAUUGCGUGUUGCAUGCAGAAGCCAGAGCAAGAUGUUGGCUGUCUUCCUCUGUCAUGUUCUACUUUAUUGCCUUUCACUGAGUUGGAAACUAUGGAUUUUGGCCAGCUGGCUGGCCAAUGAACUCUCAGGAUUCUGCCCCAGUGCAGGGGGUAGGGGGUGGAUGGGUAGGGGGUGUUACAGGCACACACAGCCAUACCAGGAUGUGUUUGAAAAGCCUUAGCUUUUUAUAGGAGUGUCCCUAGUCCCCAGCCUCUGCAUUCUGAAGGGCAAUUUGCUUGUUUCCACUUGGACCAUUUGACAAGAAAGAAAAGAAACUUCUAGAAAGCUUCCACUCACCUUCAAGGUGAGCCAGAUGUGACUAAUCCAGUGGCUGCACCUGUGAUUAUCUGACAUGACCCAAGAAGACUCAGUGUAGCAGGUUUGUAGCUUCUCGUUAACGAGGAGUCUGUGUGUCUGUGUGCACUGAGGACGGCUUUCUCCUUCCCUUGUCUCUCCCCGAGGUCCUUGCUGAGUGACUGAGAAGGUGUCUCCCCCCGCCACCACCAUCCUGAGUGAGAGCAGCUAUCAGGUCACCACAAGUUCAUUGAAGUUGAUUUUACCUUGGGUGUGGGGCUUGUUUGGAGUGAUUGUGCAUGGAGCAAAGAAGCCCUCCUGGAGACAUCCGGUCUUCCGCUGUCCUCAUAGCCACAGUGUUAUCAGAGAGGUCAGAAAGUAUCCAAACAAGGAGGCUGUGGGAAGACAAUCUGAUCGGCUUCUGGAGAACAGCCUGGCUCGGUUCCCCACUCCACGCUACUAGACGGGAAGGAAAGAACCUGCCAUUCAAAACCAGAACAGCCUGUUCCCUGUGUGCUCACUCAUUCACAGAGCAGAACACCAAGAUAUCUGUUGGUUUUCUUGAUUUCAUACUCUCGAUUCUCCACGUAACCUUACCUUGAACACCCACUGACGGGGGAAGCCAGAACUGUCUGUUGCUGUGUGUGGUGUAAACGCUGCCUUACACAGCAAAAAUCACCCUCUGGAGGUGCGAUUGAAUUGUGGGGUCUCGUAGUGGAGACAACCUGGAAUGUGCAGGUAAGCUCGAUGUAAUCACAAGGUUUCUUCUCAGAGAGACAGGAGGAGCAGAGGUAGUAGGAGGAGACACGAGCAUGAGGGGAUGGAGGGAAUGUUGCCAGCCUUGAGAAGAAAACGGAUUCUCCCCAGAAACUUCCAGAAGGAGUCAAUCCUGGAGAUACAAUCUCAGUGGAGCUAACUUCAGACAUUUUAGAUCUGGAAGUGCAGAGCUGUAUAUUUGUGCUGUUCUGAGUCACUAACUUUAUGGCAAUCUGUUACAGCAGCAACAGGAAACUAAUGUGCCACUUGACUAAACCAUAAGCCUACUAUUUGUGUGUCCCCUUCUAAAAGAUAGAAAAAUAAGAACACAGAGCACGUGACAGUGAUUCCUGUUAGCUUAGCAUUGUGGAAAGCUCCCAGGUCGGCUUUGAAAUGGACAUUGCCUCAGAAGAAUCUAAGGUGAGAAUAAGGACACAAGAAGAGAUGUCAGCGGGCCACACUUGGAGAAAACACCACAAGCCUUUGCCAGGAGAAAGAACUAGACCUUAUGCUUUUAAAAACAGUUGUGGGCUACUCACCAGAGAAGACUGCUUGGCUCUGGGUUUAAGCCAGUAGAAAGUCUUUGUUAGCCAGCAGACAACUACACUGAGUGGUCAAGAUCCCAGUGUAGCACCAAGCCUUUCUCAGGAUGAGCUUUUAAGCAUAAAAAAAAAAAAAUGUCUUGGGUUCACACAUGAACCAUGUCUUUCGUUCACAGUAGCAGUUAGCAAGAAGCAGAAGUCAAAAGGCAAAAUUGUUACAUUUAGAGACAAACUAUGGACUUUGAUGGAUUAGGCCUUUUAGUUUUGGCAGGUGGUGAUGUCUAUGUGCUCAGUUUUACAGCCUGAAUGGCACUUCCAUCAUGGAGUCAGUUGUGCUAAGGAAUGGAGGCCUACUAAGGUCUGGGGUCUUGUUACAAAACUUUAUGUCAGGUGGGGUGGCACACACGUCUAACUUCAGUGCUCCAGAGGCAGAAGCAGGUGGAUCUCUAUGAUUUUGAGGCCAGCCUGAUCUAAAUAGUGAGUUCCAGGCUAGCCACUGAAUACACAGAGAGACCCUAUCUCAGGAAGCAAUACAACAGACAAAAAGAUGUCCUACUGCUAUGGCCACCAUCAACAGUAGGUAAGGAUGUUGUUUAAAUGGAAGCUGCACUGUAUACACAUUCAUUUUUCAUUUGUUCAAAGUCAGUCUGCUGUCAUGAGUCACUCUUUCUGGGCAUCUCUUUGUUGUGCUGGAGUAUACCACUAGGUACCUUCCCAGAUGUGAGUACAACAUCCUGAGCCAAGGAUUUAAACAAAUGCACCGGCUUUCUGGUAUUCCUCACAGAUGUUUUUAGAGACUGCUGUUCUGUAAUACUUAGAGGGUUGUUUGUUUGUUUGUUUGUUUGUUUGUUUGAGACAGGGAUUCUCUG